rnacentral:rRNA from 1 species
UACAGAGGGUGCGAGCGUUAAUCGGAAUUACUGGGCGUAAAGCGCACGUAGGUGGCGACGUAAGUCGGGUGUGAAAGCCCCGGGCUCAACCUGGGAAUUGCAUUCGAGACUGCAUUGCUGGAGUACGGAAGAGGAGGGCGGAAUUCCCGGUGUAGCGGUGAAAUGCGUAGAUAUCCGGAGGAACACCGGUGGCGAAGGCGGCUUCCUGGACCGACACUGACGCUGAGGCGCGAAAGCUAGGGGAGCAAACGGG